rnacentral:misc_RNA from 1 species
UCCGGCUUAUCACCGGCAGUCCCUCUAGAGUGCCCAACUCAAUGAUGGCAACUAAAGGCGAGGGUUGCGCUCGUUGCGGGACUUAACCCAACAUCUCACGACACGAGCUGGCGACAGCCAUGCAGCACCUGUCUUACGGUUCCCGAAGGCACCAAUCCAUUUCUGGAAAGUUCCGUAGAUGUCAAGACCAGGUAAGGUUCUUCGCGUUGCAUCGAAUUAAUCCACAUGCUCCGCCGCUUGUGCGGGCCCCCGUCAAUUCCUUUGAGUUUUAGCCUUGCGGCCGUACUCCCCAGGCGGGGCGCUUAAUGCGUUAGCUACGGCACGGAUCCCGUGGAAGGAAACCCACACCUAGCGCCCACCGUUUACGGCGUGGACUAC